rnacentral:rRNA from 1 species
CCGCGAUUCGCCCUUCGGGGUGCAGCAGGCGCGAAAACUUCACAAUGGGAGAAAUCCCGAUGAGGGAAUUCCAAGUGCUAGCACUAUGUGUUAGCUGUUCUUUUGUCUAAAAAACAGAAGAAGUAAGGGCCGGGUAAGACGGGUGCCAGCCGCCGCGGUAAUACCCGCGGCCCGAGUGGUGGUCGAUAUUAUUGAGCCUAAAACGUCCGUAGCCGGUCUUGUAAAUCCUUGGGUAAAUCGGCCAGCUUAACUGUCCGAAGUCCGGGGAGACUGCAAGACUUGGGAUCGGGAGAGGUCAGAGGUACUUCUGGGGUAGGGGUAAAAUCCUGUAAUCCUGGAAGGACCACCGGUGGCGAAGGCGUCUGACUAGAACGAAUUCGACGGUGAGGGACGAAGCCCUGGGGCGCAAACGGGAUUAGAUACCCCGGUAGUCCAGGGUGUAAACGCUGCGGGCUUGGUGUUGGGGGUCCUUUGUGGGCGCCCAGUGCCGGAGAGAAGUUGUUAAGCCUGCUGCUUGGGGAGUACGUCCGCAAGGAUGAAACUUAAAGGAAUUGGCGGGGGAGCAC